UACGGAGGGUGCGAGCGUUGUCCGGAUUUAUUGGGUUUAAAGGGUGCGUAGGCGGCCAGAUAAGUCCGGGGUGAAAGCCCGUUGCUCAACAACGGAACUGCCCUGGAUACUGUGUGGCUUGAGUCCAGACGAGGGUGGCGGAAUGGCCGGAGUAGCGGUGAAAUGCAUAGAUACCGUCCAGAACCCCGAUGGCGAAGGCAGCUGCCUAGACUGGAACUGACGCUGAGGCACGACAGCGUGGGGAGCGAACAGG
rnacentral:rRNA from 1 species